GUGGGGAAUAUUCCGCAAUGGGCGCAAGCCUGACGGAGCAACGCCGCGUGAAUGAAGACGGUCUUCGGAUUGUAAAGUUCUGUCAUUAGGGACGAAGGACUCAUGUAAAUAAUAUGAGGAAUGACGGUACCUAAGGAGGAAGCUCCGGCUAACUACGUGCCAGCAGCCGCGGUAAUACGUAGGGAGCAAGCGUUGUCCGGAAUUACUGGGCGUAAAGGGCGCGUAGGCGGAUAAUUAAGUCAGAUGUGAAAUCUCCAGGCUUAACUUGGAGCGUGCAUUUGAAACUGGUUAUCUUGAGGGCAGGAGAGGAAAGUGGAAUUCCUAGUGUAGCGGUGAAAUGCGUAGAUAUUAGGAGGAACACCAGUGGCGAAGGCGACUUUCUGGACUGAACCUGACGCUGAGGCGCGAAAGCAUGGGGAGCGAACGGGAUUAGAUACCCUGGUAGUCC
rnacentral:rRNA from 1 species